rnacentral:rRNA from 1 species
UACGUAGGUGGCAAGCGUUGUCCGGAAUUACUGGGCGUAAAGGGCGCGUAGGCGGCCUUCUAAGUCAGACGUGAAAUCCCCCGGCUUAACCUGGGAACUGCGUCUGAUACUGGGAGGCUUGAGUAUGGGAGAGGGAUGUAGAAUUCCAGGUGUAGCGGUGAAAUGCGUAGAUAUCUGGAGGAAUACCGGUGGCGAAGGCGGCAUCCUGGACCAUAACUGACGCUGAGGCGCGAAAGCUAGGGGAGCAAACGGG